AACGCCCCGUCUUCUUGCCGCUCUCCACCCUGUCCCAAUGGAGCUGAGCGCCGUCGCCGCCUGUACUCCUCCCGCUACUACUACUCCAGAUGCAACGGCCUGGCCAGCACCGCCUGGGGAUCCAAGGGAGCCGCCGCCGGUGAGCAGCUCGCGUUAGUUGAGCUCUCGCACCGCCGUGCUGCUGCAUAUGCAGAUAUGCUUCUCGCUGCGAGCUAGCUGGCGCGCGCGGAGCAUGGUUGCAAGGGUGUGCGUGGUGUGCGCGCGUGGCCGGGGAAUUGAGGCGUCAUGGUCCGAGAUAUAUAUACAUGUCUAGCUCGAUCUCUUGCUAGGUAUCUUAUGAGAUUUAUUGUUCUUAGUUUCAGUAUUAGCACUCCGAUCCCUGGAAUGAACAUGCCUUCUAUUUCCUUUUUCCUCUCUUGUUUUCUGUGUCAAAGUUGCUGGCCAUUUUCCCUGGGAUUAAGAAGCUGUAAGUGACGCAUUCCUGGCGUGUAGCUCGUUAAUUCCUGUGAUGUUAGGCAUCAUAUCGUCUCGUCUUCUUGAGCAGCAUUGUUAGUAUAUAUAUGUAAGCUGUUGAGAAAGACCAGAAGUCUUAAGCCUGGAAUGCAUCAGUUACACUUUGUCAUGUGUGUCAAUGUAAUCUCUCUGUUUUCACC
rnacentral:lncRNA from 7 species